AUAGAAAUUUUUGCCGGUGUUUUGUUCAGCUAAUCAAUGACCGAGUAUUCCUUGGCAUGAAGAGAUCAUCUGGCCUGACCUCGAUGAUGGGUGGCCAGUUAGAGGCCUACUUGCUCGACUAACCCAGAUGCUCUAGGGUAUAAACUCUACCAGUUCUCGUCAUACCCUGUGCUGCAAUAGCCUCUCUGAACCUAACCUUGCCUUUCCUUCUUGAAUCGGCUAUGUAGUCCUAGGGUAUGGUAUUUGUAUGGGUGUAACGGCCGACAUUGCCACUAGAAUUGGCAUGGCUAUCUUUACUCUGAACGAAGCAUACACCUUAGGUGGUGAACUACAACUUCAUGGGAUGUAGGCGCAUUUGUUGACGACAUGAAUUCAACCUCAAUUAGUGUUGGCGUCUUUGUAGAGGAUGGUGCUUCAAACUCAAACAGUAUGGACAUAUUCACCUUGGCAUCCCUAAAGGGUUGAAUCUUGACUACGAUCAUAUUAAGGGUAACUAUUGUCUUGUUUGGGUUGUCACCUUCUAUGAUUAAACCGAUCAAUCACUUGGGGUCCUAAUAGUCCUCUAUUUCAAUCAUGUGAACACCUUUACCCUUGUGAUCUAGCAGAGGGUUAUUACGGACAUUCGGAGCAGGUUCCUUUUCCACAAUAAUCUUAUUAUCAAUCAAAGUCUGGAUCUUAUCUUUCAAAGAGCGGCAUUCGUCAAUGGUGUGACCUUUUAUGCCGGAAUGGUACGCAUAGGACUUAUUUGGAAUAACCUACUGAGAAGGGUUCUCAGGAGCAGCAGGGAUAAGGGUGAAAUAACCAACAAUUUUGAGUCUUUCAUACAACUGGUCAAUAGGUUUAGCAAUAGCCGUAUACUAUUUUGGGGUUCUUCGGUCAAAGUUUGGUCGGGGUCUAGGAAAGUGUUGGCAUGGAUGAUGGGAUAGGUAGUGGGAUGGUUGAGUGUUGUAGGCUUGGUGAACAUAUGCUGGUUGAGAAUAUUUAGGUGAAAUAGGCUGAUAUAUGGAAGGUGAUUGAUAGGUGAGUGGUGGAGUUUGUUAAGAGGGUACGAGUGCUUGGCAGUUUGGGGUAGGCUGAUAUAUGAGUGGAGGCAUUGGGUAUGUUUGAUAUUUGACGGGAGAUUUGGUUCUCUGUGCCACUAUUACAGCUUAUACGUCCAUUUUCUUGGACACACCUCCUGACUGUAAGGCCUUAUUUGUAUCUUACAAGACCUCAAAGUUUGUAACCAUACUGCUUUUGAUGCCCUCUUCGAUCCCUUCUCCUAGUUUGAUAAUGUCAGAAAAUAUAUGGCCCUUGAUCAUCACCAGCUUUCAUAAUAUUGUGGAUCUUGAGCCCGAAGAAAGAAUUUGUUCAUUUGUUCCUCCUCUAAAGUGGGUCUGACCUUGGGAGCUUCGGACCUCCAACGAUUAGCAUACUCGCGUAAGGUUCCUGUGCGCUUCUUCUUCAAAUUUUUAAUAUAGAACACAUCUGGCGCAUUCCCCGUGUUUAACCUAAAACUGUCCAUAAAAUCAGAGGCCAUGCUUACCUAGUUCGACCACUUUUUUGGAUCUUGGCUAAUGUACCAAGAUAAAGCAUCUGCCUUCAUGCUCCUUAUAAAAAGCUUCAUGCGGAUUUUCUCGUCUUUUCCUAUUCCAACCAAUUUGUCACUAUAUGUUCUUAAAUGAACCUUUGAUCCAGUACCAUCAAACAUUUCGAACUUAGAAGGUUUGUACCUCUCGGGCAGUUCGACAUCAAGUUGUAUGCAAAGAUCUUUGUGGUUUAGCCCCUCAAUUCCCUUACUACCUUCAACACCUUGAAUUCAGCUAGUCAACUUUUUAAGUUUUUCGGCCAGGUUUUUUAUGAGCAAGUCCUUAUCAUCGGAAUCGAGUGUGCUUGAGAUGGGUUGGGUGGAGCGUGACACAGUCUCCACGUAGAUGGGGGGUAUUAUGUUAAGUGUGGUAGUGGUCAUUUGUGGAGUUCUAGAGUUUUAGGGUGAGCACUGGGGUGUUAUUUGAGGUAUGGCAGGUGUUGUAGUGGUGGUGAGGAGUGUGAUGGUUUUGUUGCUUUAUGAUAUUUUGUGGAGGUAUAGGAUUCUGAGCAUUUGGAAAAUUAACCUCUAGAGUGGUGAAGGAAAAUGACAAAUUUUCCAGAUUUCGAACUUGGUAAAGUUGUUCUCGAAAUUUCAACAUCUUUUGUUCCAGUUAGGAUGAAUUUUCCUUGGGAACCAGAGUACCGUGACCAUGAGUGACCUCUACCCGCUCAGUUGAGUUUUCCUUUAUGGCAUUGUUCAAAUCUUCGAUCUUCCCUUUGUUUGUGUCUGAUAGGACUGAGAGGAGGAGCAUGUGGAGGGUUCUGGAUUUCGUGAGAUAAGAUGAUGAUGCAGAGUGCACGAACUAACCUUUGGGGAGGGGAAUAAAUGAACAAAAGUAAAAUAAAAAGGUAACAAGUCAGUGAGGGUUAUAAAACAAUAUUGCAAUAUUUAAUCAUACGGUGCUUGAAUGUAAAGUGUAUCCUAAUUUAGGGACCUCUUUAUGCCCAAGGUAGGCUUAGCGACAAGUUAAUUUGGAGAACUUGGAAUGCUAAAUGCCUCAUUUCAUUGAUAGAAAUUAGACGGAUCCCAAAGUGAUACUAAUAACAGGAAAUAAAAGUCAAGUGGCCAAUUGCCUUAUUACAUUUUAUAAAGCAAAAUGAAAACUCCUAUCUAUUUGGUCCUAGUAUGACCUUCCCCAGAUUCGGCGUCCUUUGCUCCAUCGAAUAGCUUCCCUAAAUUGCGUAGUCCCAGCAGCAGGUAGGCUCUGGCUAGAUGUCCGCUUUCAUUUUCUUCAGCAGUUCGGUAGUCUUCGUCCCUUUUGAGAAAUUUCUUCUCCAACUCUACUAUACCUCGCUCAAAGUCGCUUGUUGGAACUGACAGCCAUAUCCUUCCACUCUUUAAUUAGUUCUUGAUUGGCUUCCUGUAUCUCACGAUGCUCGCUUUUGCAUUCUCGAAUCCUUUUGCGUAGUUGAUUGUACUUGACCUGUGCCUCGGCCUUCUUAUCUAUGAUCCUUUAACCUUGAGUGAACUCGAGUUGACCCAGACCAUCGUACCUAUCCUCUAAUCAGCCUGAAUAAUAUGGAGCACAACCAGCAUGGUAUCUAUCCGGCUUGAUGGUUUCCCUUCCUAAGACAAUCUUGCAGUACCACAUAUGCUGAGCAUGGCACUUGUAAGGACUAUCCUCAUCUUGGAAGUCAUCUCGGAAGUGACUCAUUUUGUUGACCCUAGGUAUAACCUGCUUCCUACCCGCUUGACUCAUUACUCAGAGAGGUAUGUUCCUCUUAAGCCGAUUAGUAUCAAGAAAGUUGUGUCUUUGGAUCGGACGAUGAACGCCUUGAUCGGGAACCACCCGAACAUCCAUUGUACCUGGUCCUCAGUCAAAUUUCCAAAGAGUUUGACCUAUUCUCUAGCAUCCUCCGAUUAGGCGAAUAUGUUGGGCAUGUAAUUCAUUCUCUUAGGAUGAUGGAAAGCGAUGUGAUCAUCCCAGUACCUUCGAUGGAUUUCUUGAUGGUAAUCACCCUUCUAGAGAUGUUCCACGAGACAAAGUUGAAGUAGCAAAUUAUAGCCUUCGAAGUGUUUAGCUCCCUGUUGACACCUUUCUAGGGCUCGGUAUAUUUUUGCAAUGAUCAUUGGUAUGGGAUUGAAUGGUUGUCCAUUAAUUCCCUCCAUUAGAAUUUUAGUUACCAUAGCUAGUCUGGUGUGGAUUCUUUCCUUCUUAGUUGGAAACACGAUCAAUCCCAGGAAACAAACAUGAACACAAAGACCCUUUGGUGAAUAUGUACCAAUAAUGUGAUGGAAAAUUCAUAAGGAUACGUACGAUAGGAUUUGUUGUGACCGUACCUUUCGUACAAAUAAUCAAAAGGGAUAUAGGAGUCUUUUAGACAUGUCAGUUCAGGAUUAUUCUUCAAACCCAUAUUCUUGAGGGAACCCAUGCUCUUACGGUUCUCAGGCAUCAACAAACCCGGUGUUUGCCAUGGUAUACUAGCCAAUCCCCCUAUUUCUUCUAGUAAGGGUGUCAUUUCAAUAUCCUUGAAGUAGAGCAAGGACCUUUCACGGUCCCAGAACAAAGUGACAGCUUCUAUGAUCUUGUUGUUGGGUUGGAUUUCCAGGAGAGAAGGUAGGUUCCCCAAAUAUUUUCGGACA
rnacentral:lncRNA from 1 species